GAUGAACGCUAGCGGCAGGCCUAAUACAUGCAAGUCGAACGGUAGUGGUAGCAAUAUCAUGAGAGUGGCGCACGGGUGAGUAACGCGUAUGCAACCUGGCCUUNAGCGAGGGAUAGCCUGGAGAAAUCCAGAUUAAUACCCUCGAUAUUAUUUAGGAAUCACCUGAUUUUUAAAUAGAAGGAUUAUUCACUGAGGAUGGCAUGCGUGACAUUAGCUAGUU
rnacentral:rRNA from 1 species